rnacentral:tRNA from 1 species
GCCGGUUUAGCUCAGUGGUAGAGCAGCGCUUUUGUAAAGCGAAGGUCGUCGGUUCAAAUCCGUCAUCCGGCU